AGCUUUGCGCAGUGGCAGUAUCGUAGCCAAUGAGGUUAAUCCGAGGCGCGAUUAUUGCUAGUUGAAAACUUUUCCCAAUACCCCGCCGUGACGACUUGAAAUAUAGUCGGCAUUGGCAAUUUUUGACAGUCUCCUGUGAGA